UGGACAAUGGGUUUGACCUAAUGGUAAUAGACCUAGGUGAGGGAUUAGGACCCAGCAAGGCCUGCCUGUUCAGAUUCUUCUUGGCCUCUCUGUGCAGCAUUCCUUCUUGCCAGGUAUGAAGCAGGACCCUCUGGACUGAGGGUCUUCAAGGAAGAAGGGAAGAGUGGUCUUUCUACAUCUUAUGGCUUGCUCUUGGGGAGAGAAGUUUUAGUUUCUGCGACCUACCUUGGGGAGAGGAAUUCUGGUUUCUAUGACUUGCUUCAGGGAAGAAAGAGGGGUGGGAGACAGGAGGAGGGAGAGAAGGUCAGAGCGACCUUGCUUCUGAAGCCCCUUCAGUCUCCUUCAGUUCAAAGUCCUCGGCAUGCCAAGGUGACAGACUUUGCGAUGUUGUUUUCUGAGCUCCAACAAGUGCUUUUGUGGAAUUUUAGCCAUCGAAGGUCAUAUAUUGUUGAAAUUACCAGAAUUUCAAAAAUGUACAAUCUGAAUCAAUUUCAUCUUUCCUUUGUAACUUAUUCGUGCUCCAGAGUGGCAUCUAUAGGAAAAGUUUGUGCUUAAAUUAAUGAGGCAAAAGAAGUAUAUCCACUUGAAAAUAUUUCAUUAUUUAGCCAUCUAAGUCAGAGGAGCUUCUAGCCAAAGUUUAGAAGUCUUUGCACUUAGACAACACCUGGACCCCCCACCUCUGCACCUAGGGUCCUCCCUGUGGCCUCCCCAUCAGGCACGGCAGUGCAGAGCUAGCAAAGGGUACCAUCUGGCAGGGCCUCUCCACCAGCCCUGCAGCCCUGUGGUGCUACCUAGGGUCAGGUGCCCUCAAAGCUCCAUCACUAAACUGCUCAGUGGGACUUAUAGGCACUGCUUAUUGGAAACAGUCUUCCACUGGAUGUUUUAUAUUCAGAGAUUCAUCAGGGGUAAAUCUGACUGAAAGAGAUAUUUAUUUUGAAAGCCAAGUUUCUCCAGAGGCUUGUCAGUGAAGCUUCAGAGUUCAAGGCUGCUGCAUGUCAGUGAGAUCAACUGUGUGCCUUUUGACACAUUGGACUUAAGUAAUCAGUCCACUGUGGAGUUUGGGGCUGGGAGUGGGCAUUGGGACAAUUCAAGCAUAAGAGAGAUGGGAACAGGCUGUGCGUAAGGGGGACUCAAUUUGUGUUUAUGAUGGUAAAUUAGGGCCAGGAAGUCCUUAUGGGUUCAACUCUCAAAGUAAUUACAUCUUUGCUAAGAUCUGCCAAUUCUUUCUGAAGGGGAUAGAUUGAAACUACAAUUUUAACUCUUGAUUGAAUUGCUACUUCUUUUAUCAGGUAAAAUGCAUUGCAAAAGUGAAGUCUUUUGGCUAGUUCUGCACUGCCAGAGCCUUCCAUUAUUAUCUUUUUCAGAAACAUGCUGAUGAAUAAGGACCUUCACUGCAGCAUAAUAGUGAUGUGAAAUAACUGGAGAAGUUGAAAAUAUUUAACUACUGGGGAAUGAAUGGUUUAAUAAUUUAUGGUACAUCCUUAUUAUGAGAUACUAUUCAAGUAUUAAGAAAAUAAGGCCUGCCUGGCAUAGUGGCUCACACCUGUAAUCCCAGCACUUUGGAAGACUGAGGUGGGCAGAUCACAAGGUCAAGAGUUCAAGACCAGCCUGACCAACAUGGUGAAACCCUGUCUCUACUAAAAAUACAAAAAUUAGCUGGGUGUGGUGGUACACACUUGUAAUCCCAGCUACUUAGGAGGCUGAGGCAGGAGAAUCACUUGAACCCAGGAGGCAGAGGUUGCAGUGAGCUGAGAUCACGCCAUUGCAUUCCAGCCUGGGUGACAGAGUGAGACUUCAUCUCAAAAAAAAAAAAAAAAAAAAAAA
ensembl:lncRNA